rnacentral:rRNA from 1 species
ACGAACGCUGGCGGCGUGCUUAACACAUGCAAGUCGAACGGAAAGGCCCAGCUUGCUGGGUACUCGAGUGGCGAACGGGUGAGUAACACGUGGGUGAUCUGCCCUGGACUCUGGGAUAAGCCUGGGAAACUGGGUCUAAUACCGGAUAUGACCUUACAUCGCAUGGUGUUUGGUGGAAAGCUUUUGCGGUUCAGGAUGGGCCCGCGGCCUAUCAGCUUGUUGGUGGGGUAAUGGCCUACCAAGGCGACGACGGGUAGCCGACCUGAGAGGGUGAUCGGCCACACUGGGACUGAGACACGGCCCAGACUCCUACGGGAGGCAGCAGUGGGGAAUAUUGCACAAUGGGCGCAAGCCUGAUGCAGCGACGCCGCGUGAGGGAUGACGGCCUUCGGGUUGUAAACCUCUUUCACCAGGGACGAAGCGUGAGUGACGGUACCUGGAGAAGAAGCACCGGCCAACUACGU